GAGGUUCUGGUGACAUCUCUGG
rnacentral:piRNA from 1 species